rnacentral:siRNA from 1 species
AAUGCGAUACUUGGUGUGA